rnacentral:rRNA from 1 species
UACGUAGGGGGCAAGCGUUGUCCGGAAUCAUUGGGCGUAAAGAGCGUGUAGGCGGCCCGGUAAGUCCGCUGUAAAAGUCAAAGGCUUAACCUUUGAAUGUCAGUGGAUACUGCCGGGCUAGAGUCCGGAAGAGGCGAGUGGAACUCCUGGUGUAGCGGUGGAAUGCGCAGAUAUCAGGAAGAACACCAACGGCGAAGGCAGCUCGCUAGGACGGUACUGACGCUGAGACGCGAAAGCGUGGGGAGCAAACAGG